rnacentral:lncRNA from 1 species
AAAGUAACACAAUACUGUUAGGUAGUAUGAACGUUUGAACUGAAUAUCCCGUAUUUUGUUCCUACCAAAGUAUUAUCUUGUAAAUGGAUGAUUACACCUCAUUCAUUGGCUGAUUCUGGCGACCUCAUGCUAUUAUCGUUAUUCAUUCAGCGCCAAAGAAAUUAGUCACCAUAGCAACAAUGUCAAUCACAGAAACCGGAUCCGUGGAGAGGCGGAGCUCGGGGGCUAUCGAUUAGAACGAAAGCACGUAUCCUAUUACCAAACACCAGACUAAUUUUAAUAUUUUGACUCAAAACCAACACAAAAAGGCAACUGUGUAUAAAAUUAACCUUGCCUGCAUUUUAUUAGAUUUUAAAGUAGUGCAAACUUUAACAAAAUGUACUGCAAAGGACCCAUAAAAUCGCUGUUAUUCAUUUGAAAAACUGAAUUAAAGCCAAUAAUAAAGUACAAAAAAUCAGAUCUAAUUAUACCAAACAAAUGGUAGAGAAUAGCGUUUGACAAUACUGUAUUUACAAUGACCAGGCGACCGAUCGUGAUGCGACAUUAAAAGGAAGGUUUUGUAAAAAUUAAACACUUGUUUGAAUGUCUGUUGAACAGUAUACAAAAACACGCUCUGGGAAGACUUAAACUAGUUAAAUAUUGAGCUAAUAUUCCUAUGUAAAUAUUGUAAGUUACUGAAAAACGCAGUCAUCAAACAUGUUUAUGAAUUAAUACUAGAUUUAUUCACGGUGUUUGUUAAUUGGCUUCACAAACACACGAUUUGUUUAAUUUCUGAAAACGGAAGGGAUAUAGAGUUUCAACGGAAAGUCUCUUGAAAUGUUAGAGAGCUUAGUUUCGAAGCAGAUGUUACUGAGAUGUUUCAAGAAUCACCUGAGCAUCGGAAGAAAAUGAAGUUCUGUUGUAAUGUCGUUUUUACGAGGCUGAGUCUGAAAUGAAGAGAAUUACACCAACAUUUGAACUUCUUUAACGAGCAUAUUUCAUCAGCACAUUGACAAAGAAUGACAUAUUUACUAGAUAAAACGUAUGGAACAUUUAUUGAAAAUCAAUACUAGAAGAAUUUUUCGGAACAAAUUUAUUUCGUUAUCUAUAGCACGCAAAUAUCGCAGUCUUUACGUGUCACCUGUAGACUCGGUGGUGUAGCUUGCGACUUUAUUUCCAUUUUUUUUUUCAGGUACAAAUCAGUCAGUGCUUAGUUGAAUUCCAAAGAUUAUAUCGUGGCAAAUGAAUAAAUCUCAAUACAAUUAUGAAAAAACAACAACAUAGAUUGUGUCAGCAUUUGACAGUAAAGUAUUUUUAAAACCAGUUUAUAAAAAAAAAACAAACAAAAAUGGAUUUAAUCAAUUUACAAAUUGUACAUGUACUUCAUUGAUAAAGGCUUUUUUUCAUUUUGUAUAAAACACAGCGUUUUAAAUGGGGACAUGUCUACCAGUUUUGAUCAUGUAUCAAUUUUCUCUCAAAUAGCGCUAGUUUUUGAAUACAUUUAUUUGUUAGCAUUAAUUCCAUUUUCGUAAACAUUUUCGGUCAUAAAACAAAUAACUUUUCUAUUCUCAUAAUUUGUUCCGUCAGUGAAAUAUAACUUUUAUAUGAUAAUUGUGAGGUUCACAGACAUCCAGGAAAAUCUUGUCAUGAAAUUACGAGAAAAUCAGUAAGGAAAACAAAUAUCACCGGAAGAAAAGAAAAGAAAGCCUCUUUUUUAAUGAAGUUCAGUUCUGCGUAAGGCGAAUACAAGAUUUAUCUUCUUAAAACGCAGGAACAAGUUUAGAAGAAAAACAGAAAAUGGCCCGGCUGUAGUGUCCACAUUAGUUUCUCGGAAAAAUCCCAUUUAGUAUUUAUACAUUAUUAUUUGUUCUAUGUAUUUAUACUAAAUGGAAUUGUUUCGACAUAUUUAUUCUAAAUGGGAUUUUUCAAAGUGAAAACAGUAGAUACUACAGCCGGGGUCAUUUUCUGUUCUUUGUUAGAUGAUUCUUGUAUUCGCCUUAAACAGAACAGAACUUCAUUAAAUGGUCUUUUUAUGUAUUAUAUAUUUUUUAAUUUAUUAAAUAGCAGGCAUUAGCCAUAUGGCAUAACAUUGCAUAUAAUAAUAUAUAUCAAAAACGGACUGGAAGGGCUUAGUUUAAUUUUAUGAUUGUUUUUGUUCAGUUAGAAAUGCUGACAAAUACGUAACUUAACACAUUGUGUUCAUAUGUAUGAAAAUAUAUGAACAAUGGACAGACAGAAAAAUACACUAAACAUGGGUCAUCACAACUCUAAUGAAAUGCAUUCAAAUGUUAAAGUUUUACAAUUUAUUUAUGAUAUAUUAAUAUUUGUACUACAGAAGGGCUGAGUCGUUUGUUAGUAUUUAGUUCCUAUAAAUAUCUUCAUUUAAAAAAAAUGCCUAAUAAAAUUAUUUUAUGUAAUAUAAGAUUUGGUAAAUUAUCCACUGUGCGGAAAGACAGCCACACGAUGUAUAAUCGUUGGAAGAAAACAAUUAAAAAAUAAAUCGAAAUACGUCCAGGUUGAGAUGCUGAUAAAUAAACUAUAUGUAAGUUCAUAUGAAAUAAAAAUAAUAAAACUAACAAUGAAAUAUUAUAAGAAAUCACAUUAAGAGAACUUACAAUAAUAAGUGUGAUGCUUAUAAUGAUAAUAAUUAAUAUAAAUAAUAAUAUUAAUAAUGACGAUGACGACGACAGAAAUAGCGAUUGUGUAUUAUCUGAAAUGAUAAUAUCCGCAAAAAUUUUCGUCGUGGU